UGGGGAAACUUCCUUUUUGUUAUCAUUUAUUUUCUCAUUUCUUUAAGUUCCUAUCCUUUCCCCUUAUCCUCUCCACCAACCCUCCAAUUUCGUUUUUCUUCAAGAAAUACAGAAACCAAAACCUCCCUUCUCUCACAUAUUCAUCCACCAAAUCGAUCAUCAAGACUUUUCUUGGUUGAUCCCCAAACAAACUCCACACGAUUGAGGUUGCUUAUAUCGUGUGCAAGUUGAAGAACUUGAGACAUUUGAUGGCCUACGGUUUGAACUUUUGAAGUCGUGUGGGACUGUUGAAUUGUUGUAUGCUAAAAGGGCUGAGGGCUCCGGUCCUUCUUGAGACUUGAUCAUGUUUGGUGUGAAGGCAUGACGUACACAUUGGGCGAAACUAAAUGUUAAAGCUUGUUAACGUGUUUUCAUGAAUUAUUGACACUUAGUUUUUUUUAUCGAACUUGAUAGUCAUGAUAUAUUUGUUGUCUUGAUUUAUUUGUUAUGUGUACAUUUGUGCUGCCAUGACUUGAGAAAAUAAGUUGAAGAACCCAAAGGCUUCAAACUUGUAGUUUUGCACCACUAAGCUUUAUGCUUAGCGAUAGUUGUUUCUAUCGUAGGAAAUGUCCGAGAAGAUGCUUGAGGUUGGCCAUUGGAGUUGAAGUUUUGGAAGCUUUAAGGAAGAUCACAUUUGCAUAUAGGCACCUAUAUUUUGUAGUAUUUUGGGACGUGUAUACGAUUUAUGGUUUGCUUGUGUAUUUGUAUUUAUGUACGUAUUUCUGAGAGUUGUAACUUAAAGAUUGUUGCUUGUUUUGUAAAUUUUGGGGUAUGUACAUUUCUAAAUUUUAUGAAGUACUAAAUUACCCUUUGGAGUUAGAACAUUUGA